rnacentral:rRNA from 1 species
UACGUAGGGUGCGAGCGUUAAUCGGAAUUACUGGGCGUAAAGUGUGCGCAGGCGGCCGAGCAAGUCGAGUGUGAAAGCCCCGAGCUUAACUUGGGAACUGCGCUCGAAAACUACUUGGCUAGAGUGUGGCAGAGGGAGGUGGAAUUCCACGUGUAGCGGUGAAAUGCGUAGAGGAUGUGGAGGAACACCGAUGGCGAAGGCAGCCUCCGUGGGCCACACUGACGCUCAUGCACGAAAGCGUGGGGAGCAAACAGG